ACCCGCUGAACUUAAGCAUAUCACUAAGCGGAGGAAAAGAAAUUAACUAAGAUUGCCUCAGUAACGGCGAGUGAAGCGGCAAGAGCCCAAGCUGGAAAUCUUCACACUGCGUGUGACGAAUUGUAAUCUAAAGAGGGUUCGCUCAACGGGCGGUGGCGCAGAAGUGCCUUAGAACGGGCCGCCAGAGAGGGUGACAGCCCCGUAUGUGGUGCCACUGCCUAACGAGCGGGUCCCCGAAGAGUCGGGUUGUUUUGUAUUGCAGCCCUAAGUGGGAGAUAAACUUCUUCUAAGGCUAAAUACCUAUGGGAAACCGAUAGCGAACAAGUACUGUGAAGGAAAGAUGAAAAGAACUUUGAAAAGAGAGUCAAAAGACUUGAAAUCGUUGAGAAGGAAGCGGUAGAAAUUUAUUCUUCGGCGGUGAACGGUGACUUCUGCCUAUCCAUUGCCGGCUGCCAGCACUUCAUAAGGCUGCGGCUGGCACAUGGGGAAGCGGCUGUCUUGUUCUCCGUCGUGAGGCAAAAUGAGGUCGCACAUCCGCAGAGGCUUCCCAAACCUGGCCCGAUUCGUCGGGUAGUUUGGGUUCGCCGGUGGGCGUGCGGCCUGAGGGUGCUUCGUGCGAUUUUGCCAAAAUGGUUUU
rnacentral:rRNA from 1 species